rnacentral:lncRNA from 1 species
AUACAUAGUACAACUUGUAAUUACAAAAACCUAUAAUUGUCAAAAAAUAAUUAAAAACCUUUAUACCCUUCAUAUUUUGUAUCCAAAUACUAUAUGUUUUGCUAAUAUCGUGUUUUGAAGAUUCAUUUUUGCUAGAAGAUAAUGUACUUUCUCCCAAAAAUCUUUCAAAAAAUGAACAUGUUAUAAAGAAAUGCAAAUAAUCUUCUUCUUUUGUCUUGCAAAAAUUGCAUUUAUCGUUCUCAGAUUUUUUCCACUUUAAUAGUAGCUGCUUUGUAGGAAUAAUAUACUGAAGCAGUUUCCAUCUGAAAAUUUUUAACUUAUUUUCCUUU